UACGUAGGGUGCGAGCGUUAAUCGGAAUUACUGGGCGUAAAGCGUGCGCAGGCGGUUUUGUAAGACCGAUGUGAAAUCCCCGGGCUCAACCUGGGAACUGCAUUGGUGACUGCAAGGCUUGAGUGUGUCAGAGGGAGGUGGAAUUCCGCGUGUAGCAGUGAAAUGCGUAGAUAUCGAGAGGAACACCAGUGGCGAAGGCGAGUCUCUGGACGAAUCCUGACACUGAGGCACGAAAGCCAGGGGAGCAAACAGG
rnacentral:rRNA from 1 species